GCCCGGGUGGCGGAACGGCAGACGCAGAGGUCUCAAAAACCUCCGGGGGAAACCCCGUGUGGGUUCGACUCCCACCCCGGGCACCA
rnacentral:tRNA from 1 species